CUCCUACGGGAGGCAGCAGUGGGGAAUAUUGGACAAUGGGGGGAACCCUGAUCCAGCCAUGCCGCGUGUGUGAAGAAGGCCUUAUGGUUGUAAAGCACUUUAAGCGAGGAGGAGGCUACUUUAGUUAAUACCUAGAGAUAGUGGACGUUACUCGCAGAAUAAGCACCGGCUAACUCUGUGCCAGCAGCCGCGGUAAUACAGAGGGUGCGAGCGUUAAUCGGAAUUACUGGGCGUAAAGCGAGUGUAGGUGGCUCAUUAAGUCACAUGUGAAAUCCCCGGGCUCAACCUGGGAACUGCAUCCAAAACUGUCUGGCUAGAGUGCGGUAGAGGGUAGUGGAAUUUCCAGUGUAGCGGUGAAAUGCGUAGAUAUUGGAAGGAACACCAGUGGCGAAGGCGACUACCUGGACUGACACUGACACUGAGGUGCGAAAGCGUGGGUAGCAAACAGGAUUAGAUACCCUGGUAGUCCACGCCGUAAACGAUGUCUACUAGCCGUUGGGGUCCUUGAGACUUUAGUGGCGCAGUUAACGCGAUAAGUAGACCGCCUGGGGAGUACGGCCGCAAGGUUAAAACUCAAAUGAAUUGACGGGGGCCCGCACAAGCGGUGGAGCAUGUGGUUUAAUUCGAUGCAACGCGAAGAACCUUACCUGGUCUUGACAUAGUGAGAAUCCUGCAGAGAUGCGGGAGUGCCUUCGGGAAUUCACAUACAGGUGCUGCAUGGCUGUCGUCAGCUCGUGUCGUGAGAUGUUGGGUUAAGUCCCGCAACGAGCGCAACCCUUUUCCUUAUUUGCCAGCGGGUUAAGCCGGGAACUUUAAGGAUACUGCCAGUGACAAACUGGAGGAGGGCGGGGACGACGUCAAGUCAUCAUGGCCCUUACGACCAGGGCUACACACGUGCUACAAUGGUAGGUACAGAGGGUUGCUACACAGCGAUGUGAUGCUAAUCUCAAAAAGCCUAUCGUAGUCCGGAUUGGAGUCUGCAACUCGACUCCAUGAAGUCGGAAUCGCUAGUAAUCGCAGAUCAGAAUGCUGCGGUGAAUACGUUCCCGGGCCUUGUACACACCGCCCGU
rnacentral:rRNA from 1 species